GUGGGGAAUAUUGGUCAAUGGGCGGAAGCCUGAACCAGCCAUGCCGCGUGAAGGAAUAAGGCCCUAUGGGUCGUAAACUUCUUUUGACGGGGAGCAAUAAGGGUCACGCGUGGCCCGAUGAGAGUACUCGUCGAAUAAGCAUCGGCUAACUCCGUGCCAGCAGCCGCGGUAAUACGGAGGAUGCAAGCGUUAUCCGGAUUUAUUGGGUUUAAAGGGUGCGUAGGCGGACGUGUAAGUCAGGGGUGAAAUACCGGGGCUCAACCUCGGAACUGCCUUUGAUACUGCAUGUCUGGAGUUCGGAUGCCGUGGGAGGAAUGGGCAGUGUAGCGGUGAAAUGCAUAGAUAUUGCCCAGAACACCGAUUGCGAAGGCAUCUCACGAAUCCGACACUGACGCUGAGGCACGAAAGCGUGGGGAUCAAACAGG
rnacentral:rRNA from 1 species